UACGUAGGGUGCAAGCGUUGUCCGGAUUUAUUGGGCGUAAAGAGCUCGUAGGCGGUCUGUCACGUCAGGAGUGAAAACUCGGGGCUCAACCCCGAGCCUGCUUCUGAUACGGGCAGACUGGAGGUAUGCAGGGGAGAACGGAAUUCCUGGUGUAGCGGUGAAAUGCGCAGAUAUCAGGAGGAACACCGGUGGCGAAGGCGGUUCUCUGGGCAUUACCUGACGCUGAGGAGCGAAAGCGUGGGGAGCGAACAGG
rnacentral:rRNA from 1 species